rnacentral:rRNA from 1 species
GACGAACGCUGGCGGCGUGCCUAAUACAUGCAAGUUGAGCGAUGAAGCUUGGUGCUUGCACCAAUUUGAAGAGCAGCGAACGGGUGAGUAACGCGUGGGGAAUCUGCCUUUGAGCGGGGGACAACAUUUGGAAACGAAUGCUAAUACCGCAUAACAACUUUAAACAUAAGUUUUAAGUUUGAAAGAUGCAAUUGCAUCACUCAAAGAUGAUCCCGCGUUGUAUUAGCUAGUUGGUGAGGUAAAGGCUCACCAAGGCGAUGAUACAUAGCCGACCUGAGAGGGUGAUCGGCCACAUUGGGACUGCGACACGGCCCAAACUCCUACGGGAGGCAGCAGUAGGGAAUCUUCGGCAAUGGACGAAAGUCUGACCGAGCAACGCCGCGUGAGUGAAGAAGGUUUUCGGAUCGUAAAACUCUGUUGGUAGAGAAGAACGUUGGUGAGAGUGGAAAGCUCAUCAAGUGACGGUAACUACCCAGAAAGGGACGGCUAACUACG